CACGUAGGGUGCGAGCGUUGUCCGGAAUUACUGGGCGUAAAGCGCGUGUAGGCGGCUAUGUAAGUCGGGCGUGAAAUCCCACGGCUCAACUGUGGAAGAGCACUCGAAACUGCGUAGCUAGAGUCCUGGAGAGGAAGGUGGAAUACUUGGUGUAGAGGUGAAAUUCGUAGAUAUCAAGUCGAACACCAGUGGCGAAGGCGGCCUUCUGGACAGUGACUGACGCUGAGACGCGAAAGCGUGGGGAGCAAACAGG
rnacentral:rRNA from 1 species